rnacentral:rRNA from 1 species
CACUUCUAAGGAAGGCAGCAGGCGCGCAAAUUACCCAAUCCUGACUCAGGGAGGUAGUGACAAGAAAUAACAAUAAACCGGCUUAUGCCGGUUUAAUUGGAAUGAGUACAAUUUAAACAUCUUAACGAGGAACAAUUGGAGGGCAAGUCUGGUGCCAGCAGCCGCGGUAAUUCCAGCUCCAAUAGCGUAUACUAAAGUUGUUGCAGUUAAAAAGCUCGUAGUUGGAUUUCUGUGGGGACGGAGCGGCCGGCCGCAACUCGCGGUUCGAGCUGACGCUUUCCCUACAUCCUGCCACGAACCGUGCUACCAUUAGUUUGGUGGCGCCGGGGAUCGGCUCGAUUACUUUGAGAAAAAUAGAGUGUUCAAAGCAGGCCACAUGCCUUGAAUAAGUUAGCAUGGAAUAAUAACUAAGGACUUCGGUUCUAUUUUGUUGGUGUUCGGGACUGAAGUAAUGAUUGAUAGGGACAGUUGGGGCGGUCUGUAUUCCAAAGCGAGAGGUGAAAUUCUUAGACCUUCGGAAGACAAACAGCUGCGAAAGCGUUCCGCAAGGAUGUUCCCUUUGAUCAAGAACGAAAGUUGGGGGAUCGAAGACGAUCAGAUACCGUCGUAGUCUCAACUAUAAACUAUACCAGCUAGGGAUCAACCAACGUUAUUUCAAACCGACUUGGUCGGCACCUUAUGAGAAAUCAAAGCAUCUGGGUUCCGGGGGGAGUAUGGUCGCUAGGCUGAAACUUAAAGGAAUUGACGGAAGGGCACCACCAGCCGUGGAGCCUGUGGCUUAAUUUGACUCAACACGGGAAAACUUACCAGGUCCAGACAUAGUAAGGAUUGACAGAUUGAUAGCUCUUUCUUGAUUCUGUGGGUGGUGGUGCAUGGCCGUUCUUAGUUGGUGGAGUGAUUUGUCUGGUUAAUUCCGUUAACGAACGAGACCCCAGCCUGCUAAAUAGCGCGCGUGAGCUUUGCUCGCGGCGAGCUUCUUAGAGGGACUCUGAUGCGCGAUAGCACAUGGAAGUUUGGGGCAAUAACAGGUCUGUGAUGCCCUUAGAUGUUCUGGGCCGCACACGGGCUACACUGGCGCCUGCAACGAGCAUAUCAGCUGGCCCGAGAGGGUCUUGGCUAAUCUUUUGAACCGGCGCCGUGCUUGGGAUUGACCUUUGCAAUUGUUGGUCAUGCAACGAGGAAUGCCUUGUAAACGCGAGUCCUCAGCUCGCAUUGAAUACGUCCCUGCCCUUUGUACACACCGCCCGUCGCUCCUACCGAUGAAUGUUCCGAUGAAAUUUUCGGAGAGCACCUGUGAACUUGGCUCUGCCUUGCGAACGGGAGGCUCAAAGUCACUUAAAUCUGAACAUUUCG